rnacentral:sRNA from 2 species
CCAUAGCCCCGAUAGGAACGGCAUCCUUUUUUGUUAUUGCGAUUGUCAAAAAUUUCAACAGAAUGCUUCACGUUGUUCGCAAUGACAAAAAAGAUAUAGUGGAUAGCGGGAUUGAGC